GGAGACGGCAUCAUAAAAUUGUCAACUUUUUGUGUUUAUAAUCGCGAAAAUUGGCGAUUUUAUUUUGCUUUUGCGGUGCCUGUCUCUUGUUGUCGGUUGCGUUGAAGGAUUUACGUGCGUGGCGUCAGGAUGAUGGAAUCGCAUAUCUGUAUCUGCUUGUUUACCUCGCAAGUUUUACGUUUUUCUGUGAGUCCUUUAUUAAUUUUGCAUCAUAUUCUUAUUGAUUUUCCUUUCUUUACAGGUUAUCGGAAAAUAAUUGAACGUACCAUACUGCGGAAAAUUAUGCAUUUUAGAGACGGAUUUUGAGACUUUUUAAAAAGUGGUGUCAGCUCCGCGCUAGUGAUCCUUAAACGUGCAGUGGCAUCAAGAGGUGGAGACGGCGUCGUAAAGUUGUCAAUUUUUUGGGUUUAUAAUCGCGAUAGCUGCCGGUUUUGUUUUUCUAUUGUGGAGACCGCCUCUUCUUGUAGGUUGCAUUGGAUCACCAUUAGGCUGUGGUCAAGGAGGUAAGAGCAAUAUUUGAUUGUUUUGUUUAAUUUUUUAUUGGUUAAUUGUUUUGUUUUCAGGUUUUAGCGUCAAUUAAUGUAGGCGCUCGUCGUUCUGGGAUCGGCCCGUCUAUUGCAGCGCAGCAUGCAAGUAGGUUGUAUCGGUGAUAAGAGAUACUACCAGGGACUGUGUGGCAAGAAGAUUCAGGUAAGUGACGUUGUGCAUAAAUUGCUGCGGCGAGUCGCCUCUUAUUCAUCAUGUUUCUGCCACACUAAUCCUUUUCAUAUCGAUCUACCGAUUCGUCGAUUAUGUCCUGGUUGAUUUUCCCCGCAUCGUUUCGUCAGGAUCAGCUAGAGUGCGUUGUCUUAGGCUUGUUCAUCCGGAUGCGUUGAGGAAAGUUAGGCUGGGUCGAGGAAGGUGAUGACCUUGCAUGAGUUUGGGAGCAGACUGACGUGCGCUUUUCAUCGGAUAUAGAUGUCGUUAGAAUAGAUAUAAAGAGAUGUGGGUUUAAAUGGAUGUUUCCAUGUCAAGAUUGUAAUCUCUUCCUUGUAUGAUUAAGGCCAAUAAACUGUCAAUUUUCUUCUCUAAA